GUUUUUUUUUGUAAAAGAUUUAAUYUGCUCAAUGAGAGUUUAAAUAGYUGCAGUAAUUUAACYGUACAAAGGUAGCAUAAUCAUUAGUUUUUUAAUUGAGGACUGGAAUGAAGGAUUGGACAAAAAAAUAACUAUUUAUAGAGAAUAAAAAUUAAAUUUUAUUUUUAAGUGAGAAAUCUUAUAUGGGUAUAAGGGACGAUAAGACCCUAUAGAUCUUUAUUUUUUUAAGGGAUGUAUUUUUAAAAAAAUUUUACUGGGGCGGUAGUUUAAAUCAAGAAUUAGGAAAGUUAAUGAUCAGAAAAAUUAAAAGGAGUUUAAGUUACCUUAGGGAUAACAGUAUAAUUAUUUUUGAGAGUUCAAAUUGACAAAAUAGUUUAAAACCUCGAYGUUGAAUUAAAAUAAGUUUUGGKGCARAAGUUAAAUGAUUAGGUCUGUUCCACCUUUAAAAUUUUACA
rnacentral:rRNA from 1 species